UGGGCUACACACAACGCUACAAUGGGUGAUACAGAAGGUUGCAAUAGAGCGAUCUGGAGCUAAUCCUAAAAAUCAUCCUCAGUUCGGAUUGUAGGCUGAAACUGCCUGCAUGAAGUUGGAGUUGCUAGUAACCGCAGGUCAGCACACUGCCGGUGAACCUACGUUCGUCGGCCUU
rnacentral:rRNA from 1 species